CGGGGUGAGUAAUACAUCGGAACGUGUCCCGUAGUGGGGGAUAGCCCGGCGAAAGCCGGAUUAAUACCGCAUAUGCUCUACGGAGGAAAGUGGGGGACUCGCAAGGGCCUCACGCUAUGGGAGCGGCCGAUGUCCGAUUAGCUUGUUGGCGGGGUAAUGGCCCACCAAGGCGACGAUCGGUAGCUGGUCUGAGAGGAUGAUCAGUCACACUGGGACUGAGACACGGCCCAG
rnacentral:rRNA from 1 species